rnacentral:rRNA from 1 species
UUAUAUACUUAGUGGCGGACGGGUGAGUAACGCGUGGGCAACCUGCCCCGUGCCGGGGGAUACCGCCUGGAAACAGGCGUUAAUACCGCAUAAGCGCAUACAGCCGCAUGGGUGUAUGCGGAAAGCUCCGGCGGCACGGGGUGGGCCCGCGCCCGAUUAGCCAGUUGGCGGGGUAACGGCCCACCAAAGCGACGAUCGGUAGCCGGCCUGAGAGGGCGGACGGCCACAUUGGGACUGAGACACGGCCCAAACUCCUACGGGAGGCAGCAG